GGUGAACGCUGGCGGCGUGCCUAAUACAUGCAAGUCGAGCGACCACAUGAUAAGCUUUCUCCUCUGCCGUUGGCGGCUGACGGGCGAGUAACACGUACAUCACCUUCCUCUUUUUCUUGGAUAACUUCGUGAAGCCGCUUCUGCUACUGCCUCAUAUAUUCUACCGCUUGGUGCAGUGGUUCAACGGGGUUUUGCUGUCUCUUAUAGCUGGAUUCGCGCCGCAUUAGCUGGUUGGUAAGGUAACGGCUUACCAAGGCAACGAUGCGUAGCUGACCUGAGAGGGUGAUCGGCCACACUGGAACUGAGACACGGUCCAGACUCCUACGGGAGGCAGCAGUAGGGAAUCUUCCGCAAUGGGCGAAAGCCUGACGGAGCAACGCCGCGUGAGUGAUGAAGGUCUUCGGAUCGUAAAACUCUGUUAUUAGGAAAGAACAAAUGUGUAAGUAACCAUGCACGUCUUGACGGUACCUAAACAGAAAGCCACGGCUAACUACGUG
rnacentral:rRNA from 1 species